UACGAAGGGGGGCUAGCGUUGCUCGGAAUCACUGGGCGUAAAGGGUGCGUAGGCGGGUCUUUUAAGUCAGAGGUGAAAUCCCAAGGCUCAACCUUGGAACUGCCUUUGAUACUGGGGAUCUUGAGUUCGGGAGAGGUGAGUGGAACUGCGAGUGUAGAGGUGAAAUUCGUAGAUAUUCGCAAGAACACCAGUGGCGAAGGCGGCUCACUGGCCCGAUACUGACGCUGAGGCACGAAAGCGUGGGGAGCAAACAGGG
rnacentral:rRNA from 1 species